CCUACGGGAGGCAGCAGUGGGGAAUAUUGCACAAUGGGGGAAACCCUGAUGCAGCGACGCCGCGUGAGUGAAGAAGCAAUUCGUCAUGUAAAGCCCUAUCAGCAGGGAAGAUAAUGACGGUACCUGAGUAAGAAGCCCCGGCUAACUACGUGCCAGCAGCCGCGGUAAUACGUAGGGGGCAAGCGUUAUCCGGAUUUACUGGGUGUAAAGGGAGCGUAGACGGCAGUGCAAGUCUGGAGUGAAAGGCGGGGGCUCAACCCCGGGACUGCUCUUGAAACUGCACGGCUGGAGUGCAGGAGAGGGAAGUGGAAUUCCUAGUGUAGCGGUGAAAUGCGUAGAUAUUAGGAAGAACACCGAUGGCGAAGGCAGCAUACUGGACCGUAACUGACGUUGAGGCACGAAAGCGUGGGGAGCGAACAGGAUUAGAUACCCCUGUAGUC
rnacentral:rRNA from 1 species